rnacentral:rRNA from 1 species
UACAGAGGUCUCAAGCGUUGUUCGGAUUCAUUGGGCGUAAAGGGUGCGUAGGCGGCGCGGUAAGUCGGGUGUGAAAUCUCGGAGCUUAACUCCGAAACUGCAUUCGAUACUGCCGUGCUUGAGGACUGGAGAGGAGACUGGAAUUUACGGUGUAGCGGUGAAAUGCGUAGAUAUCGUAAGGAAGACCAGUGGCGAAGGCGGGUCUCUGGACAGUUCCUG